UACAGAGGGGGCAAGCGUUAUUCGGAAUUAUUGGGCGUAAAGGGCGCGUAGGCGGCCUGGCAAGUGGAAGGUGAAAUCCCUCGGCUUAACCGAGGAACUGCCCUCCAAACUGCUUGGCUUGAGUCCGGGAGAGGUGAGUGGAAUUCCCAGUGUAGCGGUGAAAUUCGUAGAUAUUCGCAAGAACACCAGUGGCGAAGGCGGCUCACUGGCCCGAUACUGACGCUGAGGCACGAAAGCGUGGGGAGCAAACAGG
rnacentral:rRNA from 1 species